rnacentral:rRNA from 1 species
AUUGAACGCUGGCGGCAUGCCUUACACAUGCAAGUCGAACGGUAACGCGGGGCAACCUGGCGACGAGUGGCGAACGGGUGAGUAAUGUAUCGGAACGUGCCCAGUUGUGGGGGAUAACUGCUCGAAAGAGCAGCUAAUACCGCAUACGACCUGAGGGUGAAAGCGGGGGAUCGCAAGACCUCGCGCAAUUGGAGCGGCCGAUAUCAGAUUAGGUAGGUGGUGGGGUAAAGGCUCACCAAGCCAACGAUCUGUAGCUGGUUUGAGAGGACGACCCGCCACACUGGGACUGAGACACGGCCCAGACUCCUACGGGAGGCAGCAGUGGGGAAUUUUGGACAAUGGACGCAAGUCUGAUCCAGCCAUGCCGCGUGCGGGAAGAAGGCCUUCGGGUUGUAAACCGCUUUUGUCAGGGAAGAAACGCUCUGGGUUAAUACCUCGGGGUAAUGACGGUACCUGAAGAAUAAGCACCGGCUAACUACGUGCCAGCCGCCGCCGUAACAC